rnacentral:rRNA from 1 species
UGGCGUCAGGAUGAACGCUAGCUACAGGCUUAACACAUGCAAGUCAGGGGCAUCAUGACGAUAGCUUGCUAUGUGAUGGCGACCGGCGCACGGGUGAGUAACGCGUAUCCAACCUUCCCCUUAGUAGGGCAUAGCCCGGCGAAAGUCGGAUUAAUACCCUAUGUUAUCGUAGAGGACAUCUGAAAUGAAUCAAAGAUUUAUCGCUAAGGGAUGGGGAUGCGUCCGAUUAGGUAGUCGGCGGGGUAACGGCCCACCGAGCCUUCGAUCGGUAGGGGUUCUGAGAGGAAGGUCCCCCACACUGGUACUGAGACACGGACCAGACUCCUACGGGAGGCAGCAGUGAGGAAUAUUGGUCAAUGGGCGUAAGCCUGAACCAGCCAAGUAGCCGUGCAGGAUGACGGCCCUAUGGGUUGUAAACUGCUUUUAUACGGGGAUAAAGUGAGGGACGUGUCCCUUAUUGUAGGUACCGUAUGAAUAAGGACCGGCUAAUUCCGUGCCAGCAGCGGC